rnacentral:rRNA from 1 species
UACGAAGGGUGCUAGCGUUGCUCGGAAUCACUGGGCGUAAAGCGCACGUAGGCGGCUUUCUAAGUCAGGGGUGAAAUCCUGGAGCUCAACUCCAGAACUGCCUUUGAUACUGGAGAGCUUGAGUCCGGGAGAGGUGAGUGGAACUCCGAGUGUAGAGGUGAAAUUCGUAGAUAUUCAGAAGAACACCAGUGGCGAAGGCGGCUCACUGGCCCGGUACUGACGCUGAUGUGCGAAAGCGUGGGGAGCAAACAGG